UUGAACGCUGGCGGCAGGCCUAACACAUGCAAGUCGAACGGUAACAGGAAGCAGCUUGCUGUUUCGCUGACGAGUGGCGGACGGGUGAGUAAUGUCUGGGAAACUGCCUGAUGGAGGGGGAUAACUACUGGAAACGGUAGCUAAUACCGCAUAACGUCGCAAGACCAAAGAGGGGGACCUUCGGGCCUCUUGCCAUCGGAUGUGCCCAGAUGGGAUUAGCUAGUAGGUGGGGUAACGGCUCACCUAGGCGACGAUCCCUAGCUGGUCUGAGAGGAUGACCAGCCACACUGGAACUGAGACACAGUCCAGACUCCUACGGGAGGCAGCAGUGGGGAAUAUUGCACAAUGGGCGCAAGCCUGAUGCAGCCAUGCCGCGUGUAUGAAGAAGGCCUUCGGGUUGUAAAGUACUUUCAGCGGGGAGGAAGGGAGUAAAGUUAAUACCUUUGCUCAUUGACGUUACCCGCAGAAGAAGCACCGGCUAACUCCGUGCCAGCAGCCGCGGUAAUACGGAGGGUGCAAGCGUUAAUCGGAAUUACUGGGCGUAAAGCGCACGCAGGCGGUUUGUUAAGUCAGAUGUGAAAUCCCCGGGCUCAACCUGGGAACUGCAUCUGAUACUGGCAAGCUUGAGUCUCGUAGAGGGGGGUAGAAUUCCAGGUGUAGCGGUGAAAUGCGUGGAGAUCUGGAGGAAUACCGGUGGCGAAGGCGGCCCCCUGGACGAAGACUGACGCUCAGGUGCGAAAGCGUGGGGAGCAAACAGGAUUAGAUACCCUGGUAGUCCACGCCGUAAACGAUGUCGACUUGGAGGUUGUGCCCUUGAGGCGUGGCUUCCGGAGCUAACGCGUUAAGUCGACCGCCUGGGGAGUACGGCCGCAAGGUUAAAACUCAAAUGAAUUGACGGGGGCCCGCACAAGCGGUGGAGCAUGUGGUUUAAUUCGAUGCAACGCGAAGAACCUUACCUGGUCUUGACAUCCACGGAAGUUUUCAGAGAUGAGAAUGUGCCUUCGGGAACCGUGAGACAGGUGCUGCAUGGCUGUCGUCAGCUCGUGUUGUGAAAUGUUGGGUUAAGUCCCGCAACGAGCGCAACCCUUAUCCUUUGUUGCCAGCGGUCCGGCCGGGAACUCAAAGGAGACUGCCAGUGAUAAACUGGAGGAAGGUGAGGAUGACGUCAAGUCAUCAUGGCCCUUACGACCAGGGCUACACACGUGCUACAAUGGCGCAUACAAAGAGAAGCGACCUCGCGAGAGCAAGCGGACCUCAUAAAGUGCGUCGUAGUCCGGAUUGGAGUCUGCAACUCGACUCCAUGAAGUCGGAAUCGCUAGUAAUCGUGGAUCAGAAUGCCACGGUGAAUACGUUCCCGGGCCUUGUACACACCGCCCGUCACACCAUGGGAGUGGGUUGCAAAAGAAGUAGGUAGCUUAACCUUCGGGAGGGCGCUUACCACUUUGUGAUUCAUGACUGGGGUG
rnacentral:rRNA from 1 species